rnacentral:rRNA from 1 species
UACGUAGGGUGCGAGCGUUAAUCGGAAUUACUGGGCGUAAAGCGUGCGCAGGCGGUUUUGUAAGCCAGGUGUGAAAUCCCCGGGCUCAACCUGGGAAUGGCAUUUGUGACUGUAGAGCUGGAGUGCGGCAGAGGGGGAUGGAAUUCCGGCGUGUAGCAGUGAAAUGCGUAGAUAUUGGGAGGAACACCGGUGGCGAAGGCGGCCCUCUGGACCGGUACUGGACCGCUGAGUGCGCGAAAGCGUGGGUAGCAAACGGG